GACGAACGCUGGCGGCGUGCUUAACACAUGCAAGUCGAACGAUGAAGCCGGAGCUUGCUCCGGUGGAUUAGUGGCGAACGGGUGAGUAACACGUGAGCAAUCUGCCCUUGACUCUGGAAUAACUGCGGGAAACUGUAGCUAAUGCCGGAUACGACACCUUGGGGCAUCCCAGGGUGUGGAAAGAAUUUCGGUCAAGGAUGAGCUCGCGGCCUAUCAGCUAGUUGGUGAGGUAAUGGCUCACCAAGGCGACGACGGGUAGCCGGCCUGAGAGGGUGACCGGCCACACUGGAACUGAGACACGGUCCAGACUCCUACGGGAGGCAGCAGUGGGGAAUAUUGCACAAUGGGCGAAAGCCUGAUGCAGCAACGCCGCGUGAGGGAUGGAGGCCUUCGGGUUGUAAACCUCUUUUAGCAGGGAAGAAGCGAAAGUGACGGUACCUGCAGAAAAAGCACCGGCUAACUACGUGCCAGCCGCCGCCGUAA
rnacentral:rRNA from 1 species